UCGAGAAUCUUUUGCAAUGGGGGAAACCCUGACAAAGCGACGCCGUGUGAAUGAUGAAGGCCUUCGGGUUGUAAAGUUCUUUUGUCAGCGAGCAAGAAAGAGUCGUGAAUAACGGUUCAAUUUGAGAGUAGCUGAAGAAUAAGCACCGGCAAACUCCGUGCCAGCAGCCGCGGUAAUACGGAGGGUGCAAGCAUUAAUCGGAAUUAUUGGGCGUAAAGGGCGCGUAGGUGGAAUGGGAAGUCAUUUGUGAAAUUCCGGGGCUUAACCCCGGAGCUGCAAGUGAAACUCCCAAUCUAGAGGGUAGUCGGAGGAAACGGAAUUCCACGUGUAGCGGUGAAAUGCGUAGAUAUGUGGAAGAACACCGGUGGCGAAAGCGGUUUCCUAGAUUACACCUGACACU
rnacentral:rRNA from 1 species